rnacentral:rRNA from 1 species
AUUGAACGCUGGCGGCAGGCCUAACACAUGCAGGUCGAGCGGUAACACAGGGAGCUUGCUCCUGGGUGACGAGCGGCGGACGGGUGAGUAAUGUCUGGGAAACUGCCUGAUGGAGGGGGAUAACUACUGGAAACGGUAGCUAAUACCGCAUAACGUCGCAAGACCAAAGAGGGGGACAUUCGGGCCUCUUGCCAUCAGAUGUGCCCAGAUGGGAUUAGCUAGUAGGUGGGGUAACGGCUCACCUAGGCGACGAUCCCUAGCUGGUCUGAGAGGAUGACCAGCCACACUGGAACGGAGACACGGUCCAGACUCCUACGGGAGGCAGCAGUGGGGAAUAUUGCACAAUGGGCGCAAGCCUGAUGCAGCCAUGCCGCGUGUAUGAAGAAGGCCUUCGGGUUGUAAAGUACUUUCAGCGGGGAGGAAGGCGACAAGGUUAAUAACCUUGUCGAUUGACGUUACCCGCAGAAGAAGCACCGGCUAACUCCGUGCCAGCCGCCGCGGUAA